CCCAAAGUGCUAGGAUUACAGGCAUGAGCCACUGAGCCCAGCCCUAUGCAUAGAUUUUUUUAAAUUAUUCUGCUAGCACAAGUCAAACAUGCAGGGGGGAAUUAAGAUAUAAGAAAAAAGGUAAAAAAUAAAAACUUAAAUUUCUCAUUAAUUUAUAAAUUAUAGUACCAGAUAUUGACUAGUAAUAAGUAUGUUCAGGAAUAUGUUUACAUAAAAGUAUUUUUAAGAUGUGAGAAAAAAAUGAAAUAGUGCCUGGAUAAUGAUUUAUGUGCAAAUAUUGACACACGGAUGAGAAUAUCUGCAAGAACUUAUGAGGAUCCAUUAGCAAAUGUAGCUUAAAUCUAUUUUGAGUGGAGGUGGUGUUUUAACUACAUGUGUUUAUGUAUUUUUAACCAUAUUGUGUAUGUAGAUAUGCAUAUACAUACAGAGAAAAUGUUUAAUUUGUUUACUAACUGAAAAAGAAUGACCAAUAUAGACAUAAUGUGUCAGAAGGCCGGUGCUUUACAGCUGAGAAAACUUUCAAGCAAAGAAGUUAAGAAGCCUGUGUAAGGUCACACCACUGAAGAAUAGUAUGACUGAGCCUGGCCGGGUCCCCGGCCAGCUUUCUUUCCAUACACCACACUGCAGUCAUAUCGUGCAAAGUAAUCAGACGUUGUUGGCAUUAGGGAUAAGAGCUACAAACUUAUGAA